AUUGAACGCUGGCGGCAGGCCUAACACAUGCAAGUCGAGCGGAUGAAGGGAGCUUGCUCCUGGAUUCAGCGGCGGACGGGUGAGUAAUGCCUAGGAAUCUGCCUGGUAGUGGGGGAUAACGUCCGGAAACGGGCGCUAAUACCGCAUACGUCCUGAGGGAGAAAGUGGGGGAUCUUCGGACCUCACGCUAUCAGAUGAGCCUAGGUCGGAUUAGCUAGUUGGUGGGGUAAAGGCCUACCAAGGCGACGAUCCGUAACUGGUCUGAGAGGAUGAUCAGUCACACUGGAACUGAGACACGGUCCAGACUCCUACGGGAGGCAGCAGUGGGGAAUAUUGGACAAUGGGCGAAAGCCUGAUCCAGCCAUGCCGCGUGUGUGAAGAAGGUCUUCGGAUUGUAAAGCACUUUAAGUUGGGAGGAAGGGCAGUAAGUUAAUACCUUGCUGUUUUGACGUUACCAACAGAGUAAGCACCGGCUAACUGCGU
rnacentral:rRNA from 1 species